rnacentral:rRNA from 1 species
AACGAACGCUGGCGGCAUGCCUAACACAUGCAAGUCGAACGAGACCUUCGGGUCUAGUGGCGCACGGGUGCGUAACGCGUGGGAACCUGCCCUUAGGUUCGGAAUAACUCCCCGAAAGGGGUGCUAAUACCGGAUAAUGUCUUCGGACCAAAGAUUUAUCGCCUUUGGAGGGGCCCGCGUUGGAUUAGGUGGUUGGUAGGGUAAAAGACUACCACGGCGACGAUCCAUAGCUGGUUUGAGAGGAUGAUCAGCCACACUGGGACUGAGACGCGGCCCGGACUCCUACGGGAGGCAGCAGUGGGGAAUAUAGGACAGUGGGCGGAAGCCUGAUCCAGCAAUGCCGCGUAAGUGAUGAAAGCCUGAGAGUUGUAAAGCUCUUGUACCCGUGAUGAUAAUGACAGUACCGGGAGAAUAAGCUCCGGCUAACUCCGUG